rnacentral:rRNA from 1 species
UAAAGAGCUUGUAGGNGGUUUGUCGCGUCGGGAGUGAAAACUCAGGGCUUAACUNUGAGCUUGCUUUCGAUACGGGCUGACUUGAGGGAGGUAGGGGAGAAUNGAAUUCCUGGUGGAGCGGUGGAAUGCGCAGAUAUCAGGAGGAACACCGGUGGCGAAGGCGGUUCUNUGGACCUUUCCUGACGCUGAGAAGCGAAAGCGUGGGGAGCGAACAGGCUUAGAUACCCUGGUAGUCCACGCUGUAAACGGUGGGUACUAGGUGUGGGGAACAUUCCACGUUCUCCGUGCCGUAGCUAACGCAUUAAGUACCCCGCCUGGGGAGUACGGCCGCAAGGCUAAAACUCAAAGGAAUUGACGGGGCCCCGCACAAGCGGCGGAGCAUGCGGAUUAAUUCGAUGCAACGCGAAGAACCUUACCUGGGUUUGACAUAUGCCGGAAGCGUUCAGAGAUGGGCGUGCCUUUUUGGUCGGUUUACAGGUGGUGCAUGGCUGUCGUCAGCUCGUGUCGUGAGAUGUUGGGUUAAGUCCCGCAACGAGCGCAACCCUCGUCCAAUGUUGCCAGCGGGUUAUGCCGGGGACUCAUUGGAGACCGCCGGGGUCAACUCGGAGGAAGGUGGGGAUGACGUCAAGUCAUCAUGCCCCUUAUGUCCAGGGCUUCACGCAUGCUACAAUGGCCGGUACAGUGAGCUGCGAGCCUGUGAGGGUGAGCGAAUCUCUAAAAGCCGGUCUCAGUUCGGAUUGGGGUCUGCAACUCGACCCCAUGAAGUCGGAGUCGCUAGUAAUCGCAGAUCAGCAACGCUGCGGUGAAUACGUUCCCGGGGCUUGUACACACCGCCCGUCAAGUCUUGAAAGUCGGUAACACCCGAAGCCGGU